UGGCUUAGUUGGUUAAAGCGCCGGACUACCGAUACGGAGUCGUGGGUUCGAAUCCCAC
rnacentral:tRNA from 1 species